AUUGAACGCUGGCGGCAUGCUUUACACAUGCAAGUCGAACGGUAACGCGGGGGCAACCCUGGCGACGAGUGGCGAACGGGUGAGUAAUACAUCGGAACAUGUCCUGGAGUGGGGGAUAGGCUCGGCGAAAGCCGGAUUAAUACCGCAUACGCUCUGAGGAGGAAAGCGGGGGAUCCGUAAGGACCUCGCGCUGCGGGAGUGGCCGAUGUCGGAUUAGCUAGUUGGUGAGGUAAGGCUCACCAAGGCGACGAUCCGUAGCUGGUCUGAGAGGAUGAUCAGCCACACUGGGACUGAGACACGGCCCAGACUCCUACGGGAGGCAGCAGU
rnacentral:rRNA from 1 species